CUCCAAUCUCCCUACACUCCGGAGGGCGGGCGGGCAGGCGGGUGCGAGCAAGGGGUGUGCGCCGCUCUCUCGGCAGGGGGCGGGGGAGGCGGCCGCGCGGUGACGCGCGGGGCUGCUGCGGCUGCUCCGCCGGCUGAUCAUCACUCUCGGGCUGGGAUGGACGCGGGGCGGGCGGGCUCUGGCGCGCGGAGCCAGGAGUCCGGGCCUCCCGGCUGCUGAGCGUCCCCCGAAGACUACUCCCACCCCCGCCUUCCUUCCUAGGAGCCGUGUCGACCUCUGCCUCGAGGCUCCGGACUCGGCUCCCGCCCUCCUCUGACUCCCCGGACCUCCCUCUCCCGCCCGCCCUCGGGAUCGACUAGAUCCCUCCCCCUCCCCGAGGAUUCCGACUGGAUCCCUGCCCCUGCACCGCGGAUCCAGCGUUCCGGGGCCCCGGGCCCCUGGGGAUUGCCGUGGACUCCUCCUCCAGCAUCCGAUCCCUUAGGAUCCUCCGCCUGGACCGUCUUCUGGUCCCUCGAAGCGGGCCCACGGAGCCAGUGGAUCUCCAAUCCAGUCCUGUCCCGUUGCUCCCUCCUUGCUCUUCUGUCACCAAUGCGGGGUUCCCUGUUCUCGGGCUCCCCCUGAUCCCUUCCCUUAGCUCUCCUUUUCCCGGGAAUCGACUGGAUCCCGGCCCCGCCCCCCGGGGCUGGGGCGAUCCCCCUCCCCCGCCGGGUGAGGCGCUGCGGGCGGGGGCUGGGCCUGCGGGGCCGCGGGGGCUCAGAGGCCGCCGCCCCCCUCUCGAAGCCCGUCCGCCCCCCAUUCGGAGCCCUGGAUGGAGGCACCACGGCCCCAGGGCUGAGCCAGGGAGGUGGGGACUGGGACUCCUGAGUCCCUGGGGAGAGCCUGCCUGAGAGGGAUAAAGAAGCUGGGAAGGGACCACUGGGUCUAGGGAACUGAUCCCUGGAUCUCCACCAACCAUGUCCAGCACCAUUACCACAUCUGACCCCACCCCUAGCUUGGGUCCCUGCUGAAGAGAGAAGGGUUGCUGGGGGAGAGGGGAGGUGCCAGGGUGCCUGUGGGUGGAAAAAGGGUGGCAACUUGGUCUGAAAUCCAAGUCACUAACCACUUGUCUCUUCUGUUUCCCCAUUCCUUUCUGUCCUCCCCAUCCAAUUUCCUUUCCCUUCUUGCACCUCUCUGUAUGUCUGUCUGUAUCUUGCACACCCUGUCCC
rnacentral:lncRNA from 1 species